rnacentral:rRNA from 1 species
CUUGGUCAUUUAGAGGAAGUAAAAGUUGUAACAAGGUUUCCGUAGGUGAACCUGCGGAAGGAUCAUUAACAAAUCCGAUAAUUGCUUAAGGGGGAGACCCUUUUUGCAAAUAUUAAAUCGCCGGCUGGUUUAAGCUUAGGCUUUUAGGCUAGCUGGUGAGAUUAUAUAAAUGCGUGUUAUGUUGACAGUGUGAGUGAGAUUUAAAUUUAUUGACAACUUUUAACAAUGGAUCUCUAGGCUCUUGCAACGAUGAAGAACGCAGCAAAGUGCGAAAAGUGAUGCGAUUUGCAUGAAUCUGUGAGUCAUCUAAUUUUUGAACGCGAAUGGCACUGUUAUGUAAGUAACAGUAUGUCUGUUUGAGAAUCGCAAAACACGAUCAAUUCUAGUUAAGAGUUGGAAAUGACCUUACAUGUGAUAUGUUUGGUUUGAAUAAAUUAGGUUGAUGAGUUCCCCAACGCGGCUCAAUGUGUGCUAGCGAGACAGUCGUCCCGAUCUCACAUUCCCGCUGCGUUGCAGAAUUCUAUCCAACAGCCUACCUUAUCUAUCUAAUACGAUCUCAAAUCAGGCAAGAUUACCCGCUGAACUUAAGCAUAUCAAUAAGCGGAGGA